AAAGGGAGACCUAAUUCGGGUAUAAGACGAAAAAAUAGUAGUCGAAACCAAGAAUCAAUCCCAAAAGGUCGGAGCGAGGCAUGAGGCUUUCAAACUAGGUUCUGGGUUCAUAAAAGACCUGAAUCAGGAACAAGGGCUAUUAGCUCAGGUGGUUAGAGCGCACCCCUGAUAAGGGUGAGGUCCCUGGUUCGAGUCCAGGAUGGCCCACCUGCACAGGUGGCAAAAACAAAAGAAGCGAGGAAUCAGCACCUUAUCUUACUUAUAUAGUAAGAGAGAAUGCUGGCUCUGAGUAAAGAGUCCAGAGGAACCUUGAAAACUGCAUAGAGCUAGGUGAAAAAGCCAAAAAAGAAGACCGCAAG
rnacentral:tRNA from 1 species